rnacentral:rRNA from 1 species
GACGUAGGGUGCAAGCGUUGUCCGGAUUUAUUGGGCGUAAAGAGCUCGUAGGCGGCUCGUCGCGUCGACUGUGAAAACUCGAGGCUUAACCUCGGGCUUGCAGUCGAUACGGGCGGGCUAGAGUUCGGUAGGGGAGACUGGAAUUCCUGGUGUAGCGGUGAAAUGCGCAGAUAUCAGGAGGAACACCGGUGGCGAAGGCGGGUCUCUGGGCCGAUACUGACGCUGAGGAGCGAAAGCGUGGGGAGCGAACAGG